ensembl:snRNA U6 U6 spliceosomal RNA
GUGCUUACUCUGGCAACACAUACAUUAAAAUUGGAAUGAUACAAAGAUUAGCACGGACCCAUGCAAUAUUGACAAACAAUUCAUGAAGCAGCCUAUAUUUUU